GAUGAACGCUGGCGGCGUGCUUAACACAUGCAAGUCGAACGGGCUUAGAUCGGAAGCUUGCUUUUGAUUUAAGUUAGUGGCGGACGGGUGAGUAACGCGUGGGUAACCUACCCUGUGCAGGGGGAUAGCAGCUGGAAACGGCUGAUAAAACCGCAUAACACGGCGAUGCCGCAUGGCAAUGCCGUCAAAUAUUUAUAGGCACAGGAUGGGCCCGCGUCUGAUUAGCUAGUUGGCGGGGCAACGGCCCACCAAGGCGACGAUCAGUAGCCGGCCUGAGAGGGUGAACGGCCACAUUGGGACUGAGACACGGCCCAAACUCC
rnacentral:rRNA from 1 species